rnacentral:pre_miRNA from 14 species
UUCUAGUUUCAGAGUGAAAGACCCCCGGAGCAGGGAGACCCUCACUCAAGUCUCGGGAUGACACGACCCCCCAAGAACUCACGAGAGACC